GGUUCUGUAGUGUAGUGGUCAUCACGUCUGCUUUACACGCAGAAGGUCCUGGGAUCAACCCCCAGCAGAACCA